CCUGAUUCAAGUCUGGAGCCAUUUUCACUCAAAACCCAGCAGAUAUGUUCUUGUACAACAUGGAUCUAACCUGCACAGGUCGAGAGAAAGUUCCAGCAAAACUCAAACAACAGAAUAUGAAAACAUAAUUUAUUUUUUAAAUAAACAAAAAUGGACAGACAGAAAAUGCCAACACCACUGCAAUGGAGUUGACUGCCAGAAGAGAGGAGCAAAGAAAAAAUUACGAUCAAAUGAAUUCCGGAAAUUACAAGAGGGAUACCGGAAAGGGAGGGUCAAUCAGGAGGAAGGACUACGGUACAGUUUGAACUUAUACGCACACGUGCAGCCCGAAGGACACGCGGUCAGACUUUUCAGCUCGAGUAGGAAACAACUAAAGGUCAGUAUAACAUUUUACUCCGCAUUGCUUCACUUUUAUAGGAGACAAAGCAACUGCAUAGCAUCCUAUGACAGUGAUUUUUGGCAUUCUGGAAAGCUAAUGUAUACAGUAUACGUAAUGUUCUGAGGAGGGCAAAAUCAUCCAUUGUUCCGUCGCCAUUUUCAAACUCAGAGAAGAAACGCCAAUACGCUAGUUCUGAGUUCAAUCUGUGUGGUAUGAACACAUGGAAAAACUACCUUCCAUAGAUGCAGUUCUUGAGACGCGAUGACAUUUAUUUUUACUUUUAAGUGUAAUGUGAUUGGGAGCAAACACAUUUACAGAACAGAUACAUGUAACAUAAAAAAAUGAAAAGAUGGAUUCCAUCACAAAUAACCUUGCUCAUAGAAAGCUUUGUGCUUUCACUCAACUAAUUAUGUACAAAUUAUCUAUUUUUUAACAGGAAGAUGUGGCUCGUAUUGUUUCUCGUGCUUUGUGGAGGUAUUGCUGAUUCAGAUUUGUAAGAUUUAGAGUGACUGGAUGUUAACCAAGUUAACCUUUUCUAAACUCUUCAUACAACUCUCUACACUGGCAUGCACAGUACACCAAAACUACCAAAAGACUGCAAACAAGUCUGAAAAUAAAAUCUGUCUACCCACUUGUUUGGUGGUUGAGCCUGAGUGAGAAACUGAUUAAAAAAAUUUUUUUCACAGUUUGGUCCACAUAGACUGCUGUUAUGCUAACUGUGUGGAGAGUUGUAACUCAGUAUCAAAACAAUGCUUGUGUGCAAUUAUAACAAAAAUGUAAUACAUAAAUGAGACAGGUCACCUAUGAAUUACAUUUGAAUUACUGUAAUUGAUAAACUAGGUAGUAUGCUUAUGAGACAUUACCUUUGAUUAUGAGAAACCAGGGGAACCUUAAGCCUAUGCAAAUUCAGUUUUAUUUAAUUUAUGCUAUAUCUUCUGAUGGAAUUGCACAAUACAAUACAGCCCUUGAUAAAAAGGACUAAAAUGGCCACAUUUUAUGCUCGAAAAAUGGGAAACAACAUCUUUCAUAAAAUUGCUUAGAAAACAUUUUUGAACAAUACAUUGUGUAGGUGUGUAUGUGUGUGUAUUUGUUUGUGUGUGUGUGUGUGUGUGUGUGUGUGUGUGUGUGUAUGUAUGUUAACCUUGUUUUCCUGUAUUUCAGCUACAGACCCUAAGACCUGUCUAAAGAAAUGUGAAUGUGCUGUAGCUGAGUGUUUUCAAAUUAUGGGUCCAGCAACCCCUGUUUGCACCUCCACUAAGCCAACAGAACACUGCAGUAUUAAUGGAAGCUACAUCACUCAGCCAUGUGAUGAACAAUUAUACUGCAAAGGCAUUGGCCAACAGCCAUGUCACUGCACAGAUGUUCCUGCAAAAGAUCAAAACGGUGAACCAACUGAAGUGAAAGCCGGCACCUCCAGGAUCAAACCAUCUGGCCUGCUAGUGCUCCUGGUGCUGCUUUUUGCUCGUUUUGGAUAUAUCUGGACACAGUGAGAUGAGAGUAUGCGAGUAUGCUGCACCGACUGUCUGAUUGUCCUGUGCAGAAGACUGGGAAAAAUAAACUUUAAUGUUUAAUGUUAAA